rnacentral:lncRNA from 1 species
UUAUUUCAUUUUUUAUUGUCAUUUUUUUAAAAAUAAAAAUUAUGAUAUGAUAAAAUUAUACCUUAGAAUUUUAGAUUUAAUAAAACUUAAAUAUACAUUACAACUUUAGUCAAUGAAAUUAAUCAUAUUUUUGUGUGUGCAUAUUUUCUUGUUUUAAUAUUUAAAACAUAUAUUUAAUAUAAUAAGGUAUAAAAUAAGCAAAUCAUUCUACCAAUGUUGAUUUGGUGUGGUAAACAUAGUUAGUCACCUUGAGAACGCUACUGUGUUAAACAAAUACAUUAAGUAGGUAAGUAAUAUGUGUAUGUAUAUGUCAUUUUAAUUCAAAGACAUGCAUUCUGAGUGUUACAAUCGAUGUUAUAAUGUUCAAAACAAACUUAGCUCUUUUUUUAUGUAUCCAUCUAAAAGGUUUCAUGUUUCUAAUAAAAGCAACUCUACGUUUCUUUUCACAAUUUGUUUUUUUAUUACAUUAACCAUUAUGGUCUAUAUAAACUUUCAUUUUCUUUUUUUUUUAUUUUCAUUUGAAAAAUAAAAUAAAAUUAUGAUAUAAAUACAUUAAAUUUUAAAAUUUUAGAUUUAAUAAAGCUCAAAUAUACAUUACAACUUAAGUCAAUAAAAUUAAUUAUAUUUUUUUUUUGCAUAUUCUCUUGUUUUAAUGUUUAAAAAAUAUAUUUAAUUGAAAGAAAAGGUAUAAAAUAAGUAAAUCAUUCUACCAAUAUUGAUUUGGUGUAGUAAAUAUAGUCAAUCACCUUCAGAAGGCUAUUGUUUUGAACAAAUACAUUAAGUAGCUAAGAAAUAUGUGUAUGUAUAUGUCAUUUUAAAUCAAAGACAUGUAUUCUGAGUGUUUCAACCCACGUCAUAAAGUCCAAAGCAAAUUUAGAUCUUUUUCCAUGUAUCUAUCUAAUAGGUUUCAUGUUUCUAAUAAAAAUAAGUCUACAUUUGUUUUCACAAUUUGUUUUGUUUUUCAUUACUUUAACCAUUUUUGUCUAUAUAAACUUUCAUUUUCUUUAUUUCAUUUUUUAUUGUCAUUUUUUUUAAAAUAAAAAUUAUGAUAUGAAUACAUUAUACCUUAGAAUUUUAGAUUUAAUAAAACUCAAAUAUACAUUACAACUUAAGUCAAUAAAAUUAAUCAUAUUGUUUUUUUCUGCAUAUUUUCUUGUUUUAAUGUUUAAAACAUAUAUUUAAUUUAAAAAAAGGUAUAAAAUAAGCAAUUCAUUCUACCAAUGUUGAUUUGUUGUAGUAUGCAUAGUAAGUCACCUUGAGAAGGCUAUUGUGUUAAACAAAUACAUUAAGUAGCUAAGUAAUACGUGUAUGUAUAUGUAACUUUAAUUCAAAGACAUGCAAUAUGAGUGUUUCAACCCAAAUUAUAAUGUCCAAAGCAAACUUAACUAUAUUUCCAGGUAUCCAUCUAAUAGGUUUCAUGUUUCUAAUAAAAGCAACUCUACGUUUGUUUUCACAAUUUGUUUUUUUUCAUUACUUUAACCAUUUUUGUCUAUAUAAACUUUCAUUUUCUUUAUUUCUUUUUUUAUUGUCAUUGUUGCAAAAAUAAAAAUUAUGAUAUAAAUACAUUAUACUAUAGAAAUUUAGAUUAAAUAAAACUCAAAUAUACAUUACAACUUAAGUCAAUAAUAUUAAUUAUAAUUUUAUUUUGCAUAUUCUCUUGUUUUAAUGUUUGAAACGUAUAUUUAAUUUUUUGAAAGAGAUAAAAUAAGCAAAUCAUACUACCAAUGUUGAUUUGGUGUGGUAAACAUUGUGAGUCACCUUGAGAAGACUACUGUGUUAAACAAAUACAUUAAGUAGCUAAGUAAUAUGUGUAUGUAUAUGACAUUUUAAGUCAAAGACAUGCAUUCUGAGUGUUCUAAUCAAUGUUAUAAUGUUCAAAGCAAACUUAGCUCUUCUUUCAUGUAUCCAUCUAAUAGGUUUCAGGUUUCUAAUAAAAGCAACUCUACGUUUGUUUUCACAAUUUGUUUUGUUUUUCAUUACUUUAACCAUUUUUGUUUAUAUAAACUUUCAUUUUCUUUAUUUCAUUUUUUAUUGUCAUUUUUUUAAAAAUAAAAAUUAUGAUAUGAUAAAAUUAUACCUUAGAAUUUUAGAUUUAAUAAAACUUAAAUAUACAUUACAACUUAAGUCAAUAAAAUUAAUCAUAUUUUUUUGUGUGCAUAUUUUCUUGUUUUAAUAUUUAAAACAUAUAUUUAAUAUAAAAAAGGUAUAAAAUAAGCAAAUCAUUCUACCAAUGUUGAUUUGGUGUGGUAAACAUAGUUAGUCACCUUGAGAAGGCUACUGUGU